GCUGGGCAUAGUGGUGUGUGCCUGUAAUCCCAGCUACUUGGGAGGCUGAGGUGGGAGAAUUGCUUGAACCUGGGAGGCAGAGGUUGCAGUGAGCUGAGAUUGUGCCACCACACUCUAUCCUGGGCAACAGAGCAAGACUCCAUCUCAA
rnacentral:SRP_RNA from 1 species